GACGAACGCUGGCGGCGUGCUUAACACAUGCAAGUCGAACGGAAAGGCCCUGCUUUUGUGGGGUGCUCGAGUGGCGAACGGGUGAGUAACGCGUGAGUAACCUGCCCUUGACUUUGGGAUAACUUCAGGAAACUGGGGCUAAUACCGGAUAGGAGCUCCUGCUGCAUGGUGGGGGUUGGAAAGUUUCGGCGGUUGGGGAUGGACUCGCGGCUUAUCAGCUUGUUGGUGGGGUAGUGGCUUACCAAGGCUUUGACGGGUAGCCGGCCUGAGAGGGUGACCGGCCACAUUGGGACUGAGAUACGGCCCAGACUCCUACGGGAGGCAGCAGUGGGGAAUAUUGCACAAUGGGCGGAAGCCUGAUGCAGCAACGCCGCGUGCGGGAUGAAGGCCUUCGGGUUGUAAACCGCUUUCGCCUGUGACGAAGCGUGAGUGACGGUAAUGGGUAAAGAAGCACCGGCUAACUACGUG
rnacentral:rRNA from 1 species